AGUAUUUAGACUGUACAAAGGUAGCAUAAUCAUUAGUCUCUUAAUUGGUGACUUGUAUGAAAGAUUUGAUGAGAUAUAUACUGUCUCUUUUUAAUUUAUAAAAUUUAAUUUUUUAGUUAAAAAGCUAAAAUAUAUUUAAAAGACGAGAAGACCCUAUAGAGUUUUAUAUUUAUUAAAUUAAAAUUUUUUAUAAAUUUUAAAAUUUUAAUUUAUAUUAUUUUGUUGGGGUGAUAAAAAAAUUAAAAUAACUUUUUUUAUAAUUUUAUAAUAAAUGAAUAAAUGAUCCGUAAUUUGAUUAUAAGAUAAAAUUACCUUAGGGAUAACAGCGUAAUAUUUUUUUUUUUAGUUCAAAUAAAAAAAAAAGUUUGCGACCUCGAUGUUGGAUUAAGAUAAAAUUUAAAUGCAAAAGUUUAAAAUUUUGAUCUGUUCGAUCAUUAAAAU
rnacentral:rRNA from 1 species